CCUACGGGAGGCAGCAGUGAGGAAUAUUGGUCAAUGGGCGAGAGCCUGAACCAGCCAAGUCGCGUGAAGGAAGAAGGAUCUAUGGUUCGUAAACUUCUUUUGCAGGGGAAUAAAGUGCAGGACGUGUCCUGUUUUGUAUGUACCCUGAGAAUAAGGAUCGGCUAACUCCGUGCCAGCAGCCGCGGUAAUACGGAGGAUCCGAGCGUUAUCCGGAUUUAUUGGGUUUAAAGGGUGCGUAGGUGGUUUGAUAAGUCAGCGGUGAAAGUUUGCAGCUUAACUGUAAAAAUGCCGUUGAAACUGUCGGACUUGAGUGUAAAUGAGGUAGGCGGAAUGCGUGGUGUAGCGGUGAAAUGCAUAGAUAUCACGCAGAACUCCGAUUGCGAAGGCAGCUUACUAAGCUACAACUGACACUGAAGCACGAAA
rnacentral:rRNA from 1 species